ACAACGGGCGCAGGAGGAAAUCUCUGAAUCACAAAGAUGUCACCCGAGGAGCGGCGUGCCGCCAGUUUCUGCUCAGCGCUAUUUUUUCCCACAACGUACCAUUUUCACUGCACCCUUGUUCUGAAAAAAAGUGCAGAGAGAAGAGUCACCAACCACCCCCUCCACUCUGAGGGACACUGGCGAGCAAACCAAAGGAGGGAUGAGCGGGACCACGUCGGAAAAGACGUCAGAAGACUGGCCAAAACCGGCCAAAGCCCCCAAACUGCUCGUGGUUUCACCCUGGUUAAUACGGGAUGAUGCCUUGCUCCUGCAGCCACAACCAGCUUAGCUGAGGGAGUGCAGAGAUAAGAGCAGGGCUUGAGAACCAGCUCCGAAGAGCCAUAAAAAUCACAAGCACAGAAGAGAGAAAAUCUCCAUUAAAGUCAGAGCAUAAUUAUAACUCACUCGUUGGCUGGGGGCUUUGCAGCCCGAGUCGCUGGAGAUUGCCCUGCCCUCCCCUGGGAGCUCCCUGGAUCUACCAGAGUUUUGAAGCGAGAGCAAAGGUGCCUGAGCCCCCAACUGCUCGACACAGAAGCGGAGAUAAUUCCCUGGAUGGGGGUGAGGAGGCAAGUUUCGGCACAACAAGGGAUUUCUUGGGAGCCCGCCUCGGGGAGGAAGCACAGACCGGGCAGUUGUCAACCCAGCAUCCUUCGGUCUAGCUCUGCUCGCUCAAGAAAAGGGGAUGCUUCUUAAACCCUCUGGAAAGACACUGAUAGCAGGGGCUCCUUGGCGAGGACCUGUCAGGUAUAAAAGCGCACAGGACCCCCUGGCAGCCGGCGGGAGCCGUCCGGGCGAAGCGGGGACCCCCGGGAUCCCCCAGCAGGAGCACACAGCGGCCGGGGCUGGCGCGGGAGGCAGAGCGAGAGAGGCUAAGCCAGAUUUUAACUCGAAGGAAUCGACUGAAGCGUUCAGUCGCCUGGACUGUAACUAAAGACCACGGUGUAUCCAUCACGGGCAACGCUGUCACCGCUCCGAGUAUCGUCCCGCAGCCCCGAGGCGGGAGAGGUGAGUGGCAGAGCCCGCAACGCCAACUCGCCAGGUCUCGCCGGCGCAAAAAGCAGGAGUGGCUCCA